UACGGAGGGGGCUAGCGUUGUUCGGAAUUACUGGGCUUAAAGCGCACGUAGGCGGCUUUGUAAGUUAGAGGUGAAAGCCCAGGGCUUAACCCUGGAAUUGCCUUUAAGACUGCAUCGCUAGAAUUGUGGAGAGGUAAGUGGAAUUCCGAGUGUAGAGGUGAAAUUCGUAGAUAUUCGGAAGAACACCAGUGGCGAAGGCGACUUACUGGACACAUAUUGACGCUGAGGUGCGAAAGCGUGGGGAGCAAACAGG
rnacentral:rRNA from 1 species